rnacentral:misc_RNA from 1 species
UAUCUCUCUUUCUCUCUCUCUCUCUUAGCCGUUCUUUGUUAUUAACCUCUCCUCCGUUACCAUCUAUGCUUUGAUUUUGUUUUUAGGGGUUCUUCUCUUUCAGAUCCUGUAUGAUCGCCUUUUCUUUCUGAUUUUGUCUCUUCAAAAAAUUUCUGAUUUUUCAGGUAUUUUUAAAAUUUUUUUGAACUUUUAUUUCUGACAUCUUCGCAUUUAUUUUCCUCAAUUUUAUUUUUUAAGGUGGUGUUGGUUUUGUAGGAUCUGCAGGCACGUUUGUGUUCUUGAAGCGGUUUCUACCCGUUUUGCUUAUUGAGGUGAAAUAUCACUGUGUUGUACCAUCAUCGGGACACUACAUAUUUAAUGUUAAAUUAGAAAAUGUUGGAAGGAAACAACAGUAAUCCUCUACUUCCUGUUUUUGUGGAUGAUAGUCGUAUACCCUAUCAGAUCAAUCCUUCAAAUCAGCUGCAGUUAUUCAGUAAUU